GCCUCAGUAGCUCAGCCUGGUAGAGCACCUGAUUUGUAAUCAGGCGGUCGGGGGUUCGACUCCCUCCUGGGGCUCCA
rnacentral:tRNA from 2 species